ensembl:lncRNA
AUGUGGUUUGCUGCCUCUAUCCCCCCAUCACUUAUAUCUGGCAUUCUCCCCGGGUUAUCCCUCCCCAACCUCCCCACCACUUUCUGUCCCUUCCCUAUUCCCUCCCAACAGACCCCAGUGUGUGAUACCCCCUCUCUGUGUCCACGUAUUCUCAUUGUUCAACACCCACCGAUGAGUGAGAACAAGUGGUGUUUGAUUAUCUGUUCUUGUGUCAGUUUUCUGAGGAUUUCCUUCUUUUUUUUUUUAAAGCCCUGGGCCAUUUCCUUGAAGAGCUCCCAUUGGAAAAGUCAUAGUUUGAUAUGGUAUGAGAAGCUGGCCAGGAUUCUAAAUGCAUUUUAAAUAUGUUGUUCCAAUGUCAUCUGUUCUUAAUGGUUUCUGAUGUCACAUCCACCAUCAUUUGAAUCAUUGUUCCACCACAGGUAAAGUUAAUUUCUGGAUAUUUUUAAGAUGUUCUUGUUCCCUUUGUCUUUCAGCAGUUUGACUAUGAGGUACCUAUAUCCGGGUAGAUGAUUCUUUCAAAUGUGUCCUAUUUGGGGUUUGCUGACCUUUUAGUCUAUAAAUGUAGUUCUUUCAUCAGAUUUGGAAAGUUUUGGUCUUCAUUUCUUCAAACAUUUUUUGUCUCGAACUUUUUCCUUUCUUUCUAGGACUCCAAUUACCUAAUAAGGCGCUAGACCUUUUGAAAUGUCCCACUGUUCUGUGGGGCUCAGUUUAUAUUUUUUUAUAAGCUUUUUGUCUCUUUUACGAAUUGCGUGAUUUCUAUUGACUUAUAUUCAGUUUUACUUAGAUUCUUUUGGCAUCUUUAUUUUAAUAAUUUAGCCUAUCCAGGAAAUAUAUAUUUCAGGUUUUGUGUUUUACCAAUUUUAAAAUUUCUUUUAUGCCUUUUUAAUGUUUUCUACUUUUAUGCUGGUAUUUCCUAAUUUUUUUAUGCCUUCCAUGUAUAUAUUUCUUUACCUGAUGGAGCAUUGUUAUAACUCUGUUUAGAUUGUGUCUGAUAAUUCAAACAUUUGGUCAAUUUUUCCCCUUAAAUAUGGGUCAUUGUUUUGUGGCUCUUUAAAUAUGAAGUGAUUUUUUGAUUGAAUUGUGAACAUUAUGAAUGUCAUUAUGAAUAAAAAUCUAGGCUCUGGCUUUUUUAUAUGUCACUUUAAGAAGUGUUGAUGCUUUUGUUUAGCAGAAAAGUGACUUAAACUCAGAUUAAAGAGUGUAUAUCUGUGAUGGCAGUGGCUCAGAGUGUACUUUAGUUCUUUAAAUCUUAACUCCUGAUUGCUUUCAGCUUGCUUAUUCAUAGAUGCAUCAGAUGUCAGCACUUUAGGUGUUAGGUUUCUUCUCCUCUGGAUUGGAUUCUUCCUUUGCAGAGGCUGUUUUUGUAUUUUAACUCUCUUCCUUGAUUCUUCUGCCAAAAAAAAGGGUGAGUCAUUUUCUAUCAGAGCCAUAGCCACCCCAUGUCCAAUACCACUGCUGUGAUUACCUUCUGUGUAAAGCAGUUAAAAAAUAACACACACACUCCAAAUUUCAAUUUCCAAGCUGGUUACAUGCUCCAAGUUUCAAUUCCCUUUCAAAGAAUGCUUACUUAGCUUCCAUCUCCAGUGUCCAGUGACUUCAGGUAGUUCUUUUUUAAGAGUCAAUAGCUCUUAUUUGUUGGAAGAUUAAUUUAUUAGGAGCUUGCUCCUUUAUAGUAUAAGCAGAAAUCCUCAUAUAUAUAUAGCAUGAUAAAUCCAAUAAAAACUCAAUUUUCUACAUAUUUUCAGCCCUCUUUUGAUCAAACAUUCUUAAAAAUCUAUUGUUCCAGUGAAAUAAAGUAAUGAAGAUGGACAUGCUAUUUUCUCUAAGCAAUUGUAUAUACAUGCAAAUUGUACUACAGUGAAAAUAUUUGCUGUCCUCCCUUAUUCUGUGCCGAACGCUUACCUACAGAAGGACAAUUGAAUCCAUUACACUGACAUCAGGCUUAGCCAAUUGAUAUGGCUUGGCUCUGUGUCCCCACUCAAAUCUUAUGUCCAGCUAUAAUCCCCACAUGUCAGAGAAGGAACCUGGUGGAAGGUGAUUGGAUGGGGGUAGUUUCCCCCAUGCUAUUCUUAUGAUAGUGAAUGAGUUCUCAUGAUAGUUUCCUCAUAGCUUUCUCUCUCCUGCUGUUAUGUAAGAUGUGCCUUGCUUCCCUAUAGCCUUCAAUCAUGAUUGUAAGUUUUCUGAAGCCUCCCAAGCCAUGCAGAACUAUGAGUCAAUUAACCGUCUUUUCUAUAUUAAUUACUCAGUCUCAAGUAGUUCCAUAUAGUGGUGUGAAAAUGGACUAAUACACCAAUAAUACAUAGGGAGAAGUUAUUUGGGUGACCUCCCAGCAAAAUAAAUUAUAGCUAUUACAUGGCCCUAACAUCUUACUUUCUUAUUGCCAUGAAGCAAUUAUAGCUCAGAUAGAAUCUUCUUUUUAUCCUUCAUUCUAGAAGAAUGAGUAAACAUGGAGCCACAGACACCCUGUAACACGUGUGCACAUGACUGAGAAAUAAGUCUUUGUUGUUUUAAGUCUCAGAUUGUGAGAUAAUUUAUUAUUAUAACAUAACCUAAAUUAACUGGCACAGACAUGCUAUGUAACUUACCCUAAGCUGACAGACAGUUAUGUAUAAGCAUGAGAUCGAAGAAAAGGAGAUGGAGUCACUCAUUCUAUAUAUUAACAACACAAACAGCAAUAACAGUAAAAAAACCAAUAGUUUUAAUAAAUAAGUUUAUAUGUCUUCUGAAGAAGCAUAAAGUGUAAUAGUAGACAAAACUCUUUACUAAUAGUGAGAUGAGGCAAAUUCUAUCCCUUGUUUAGAUACUGAAUAAUGACAUUACUCUUUGAAAGCCCUUUACCUCUUUACCCUUUGAUGUCCUCAUUUGUAUAAUAGUAACGUUGCCCACUUAAUCUCUGGAGAUCUACUAACUCCAACAAACCUAAGAUUUGAUGAAUAUCAGCAAAACGAAGUACACAGUCACUAUUGUAGAGCUUCUGUCAGCAGUAGAACACUCAGAGUAAUGCCACAAGGGCUUCUUUUAAAGCAAAACAAGAUUGGCCACAAAACAAACCUGGCACCCUAUCCUGAAAACUGUCUUACUCUAUUUUCUGCUCUUAUAACAGAAUACCACAGACUGGGUGAUUUAUAAAGAAAAUGAAUUAUUUCUCACAGUUCUUGAGGUUGGGAAGUCCAGGAGCAUGACAUGGAAGGUAAUUUAAUAGAGGAAGGCAUCCCAUGAAAAGUAAGUGUGUAAGGCAAAGAAAUGGGGCCAAACUUAUUAUUUUAUUAGAAGCCCACUCUUGCAAUAACAAACCCACUCCAGCAAUAACAGCAUUAAUCCAUUCAUGAGGGAAGAGCCUAAUCAACUUUUAAAGAUUCCACCUUUUAAUACUGUUACAAAGAGUGUUAAGUCUCCAACAUAGGCAUAUAUUUCCAACAUUUUGGGAAACAUAUCCAAACCAUCAAACAGAGAAUUCAUUUCUGCUUAAAAUGCUACCACGCCUCUUCCUUUUCCUCUCUAACAUUAGAAUGAUCAUGUUCUAUAUAGAUGCUGCUCCUAAAGACUGUUUGCUACUAUGAAAAGUCAUAUGAAGCAGCAAUAAAGCCAUAGUAACCGGAGUCAGCCUACAUGUAGCAUGAAUAAGUUAAUAAUUGAGAACUACUCAGGUUGUAGUGCUAUUUUUUAUACAGAAAAAUUAAUUGUUAUGCAAAAAGUAGUAUCAGAAAUAGAUGCUGCCCUAACAAAAUACCGAAGCUAUAUCAUGGAAAUGUGUAACAUGGCAGUGAUAAAAUUUUAUUGGAGAAUGGAAAAAUAGCACUAGAUAUCAAGCAUUGGUAAAUAUUUGGUUAAAUGUAAACCUUAAAACACCGAAGGUUUUAAAAACUUGAUAGGCAAACUAUGUACCUAAUAAGCUUGUGGGAUCUAGGGGAGUAGGUUUUGAGAAGCAAAAUUUUCUUAGAGUUUUUGUUUAUUAGUCAGAUCAGGCAAGUACUGCAAGACAACACCACUGCAUGUGCUCAGAAAAUAAUUGACCCACUUGCAAACAGGGCAAUAUGGAAAAGUAAGGAAUCUGGAAAUUCUCAAACUUUCAGGGCUGAGAUUUGCAACUUCUCAUGUUCAAUAUGUAAAAGAAAAAACCGAGAAACUAUUCAAAGAAUCAUACUCAGUCUCAAGGCAUAAACCAAAAUCAAGGAUGUGGCUAUGGUUUCUUUCGUUAAAAUGUCUGCAUGAAUUAAUAUCGACCCCAGUGAAUCUUUUUAGCUGGACCCAAAGGCUCAAGAAGAAGAGAUUAAAAGUGCUCUCUUUAGUAUAGAGAAAUGCAGAAUUUAAAAUAUAGGUGUAGAUAAUAACAAAUGUAGAUGACUGCAUUAAAUAUAUAUUGUUAUAUAUGUAUAUAUUUAAUUCAAGGUAUAUCUACAUAAAAUAUUUUAUAUGAAAUAUAUGACAU